GACGAACGCUGGCGGCGUGCUUAACACAUGCAAGUCGAACGGAAAGGCCCUGCUUUUGUGGGGUGCUCGAGUGGAGAACGGGUGAGUAACACGUGAGUAACCUGCCCUUGACUUUGGGAUAACUUCAGGAAACUGGGGCUAAUACCGGAUAGGAGCUCCUGCUGCAUGGUGGGGGUUGGAAAGUUUCGGCGGUUGGGGAUGGACUCGCGGCUUAUCAGCUUGUUGGUGGGGUAGUGGCUUACCAAGGCUUUGACGGGUAGCCGGCCUGAGCGGGUGACCGGCCCCAUUAGGACUGGGCUACGGCCCAGUCUCCUACGGGAGGCAACAGUGGGGAAUAUUGCACUAUGGGCGGAAGCCUGAUGCAGCAACGCCGCGUGCGGGAUGACGGCCUUCGGGUUGUAAACCGCUUUCGCCUGUGACGAAGCGUGAGUGACGGUAAUGGGUAAAGAAGCACCGGCUAACUACGCG
rnacentral:rRNA from 1 species